CUUGAUUAUUGGCCUUUCAGCUAGCAUCAAGUGGCAUCUGUUCUAAUCAGUUUAAUAUCUGUAACUUCCUCUAUUCGAGAACAAUAUAUUAAAUCAAGUUUUGGAGCAGGGAGAUGAAAUGGGGAGCUUUCUUCAUCUAAUCCAUGCAUUGAACUGGUAUUGCAGCACUUCCAGGAGUGUUGCACCCCUU
rnacentral:snRNA from 1 species